UAAGUUUUCUCUUAGUCUUUUAGUGGUUUCCCCCUCUGUCUCUCUCACUCCACGCACAGACCAGUUUCACUCCAUUCCUAGAAGACAUCAACCCACCUAGAAGGGGCUUACAAUCUUCAGGAUCCAGCACUGCUGUGUUACGCUAGUCAGGGUAAAGUUUUCGACCAUCAUUUAGAGUGAUAUACUUCAUAUCUCCUAUCUACAAAUAGAAUAAUUUCAAACAAAUCUUGGAGGAGUUCAUUCAAAGUCAGUCGAUUGAUGAUCAAGGUAGGCCAAUCCAACCAACUCAAGAGGGGCUCAUGGACAUGUAGAUUAAGGCAGCUAGUGGCGUGCAUAAGGGGAGAGUCUACGGCCUUGGAUCAGAGUUUAGUCUCAGUCCUCGUACUUCUGGAUUGUGUGGUUCUUAUUCUUCCUCACAUUGCUCGGUUGAUGUGGAUGAGUUUGAGCAGUUGAAUAGGAAGGUAGUGAACAUUACUGUCACGAUCCAAAAUCUAUUAAAGGUCAUGAUGGUGCCAGACACCACUGUCAGGCAAGCCAACAAUA